UGGGGAAUUUUGGACAAUGGGGGCAACCCUGAUCCAGCAAUGCCGCGUGAGUGAAGAAGGCCUUCGGGUUGUAAAGCUCUUUUGUCAGGGAAGAAACAGCAGCUCUAAUACAGUUUGCGAAUGACGGUACCUGAAGAAUAAGCACCGGCUAACUACGUG
rnacentral:rRNA from 1 species